rnacentral:misc_RNA from 1 species
UACUCUCACACUCCCAAUUUUUUGGAUUGGGAGUGGUGGACUUGGGUGUUGCUGCUUUACGGUGGCUCACCUCAAAUGGAGUAGUGCAACUCUUGGUUGGACAUAGUACGGCAUGAUAAGUGUCUUCGCCAGUGCCUCACUUAGAGGGUGGCUGAUCGGGAGCUCUGUGCUUCUAACCGUCUUUGGACAAUCUCUGACA